UCCGGUUUGGCACCGGCAGUCUCCCUAGAGUUCCUGACAUGUCAAGGGUAGGUAAGGUUUUUCGCGUUGCAUCGAAUUAAACCACAUCAUCCACCGCUUGUGCGGGCCCCCGUCAAUUCCUUUGAGUUUUAAUCUUGCGACCGUACUCCCCAGGCGGAUGACUUCACGCGUUAGCUGCGUUACUAAAGGAUUUAACUCCUCCAACAACUAGUCAUCAUCGUUUAGGGCGUGGACUAC
rnacentral:misc_RNA from 1 species